AUUGAACGCUGGCGGCAGGCCUAACACAUGCAAGUCGAGCGAGCGGCGGACGGGUGAGUAAUGUAUGGGGACUGCCUGAUAGAGGGGGAUAACUACUGGAAACGGUGGCUAAUACCGCAUACUAUCGGAUAACCCAUAUGGGAUUAGCUAGUAGGUGGGGUAAAGGCUCACCUAGGCGACGAUCUCUAGCUGGUCUGAGAGGAGGAUCAGCCACCCUGGGACUGAGACACGUCCCAGACUCCUACGGAGGCAGCAGUGGGGAAGAUUGCCCAAUGUGCGCAAGCCUGAUGCAGCCCUGCCGCGUGUAUGAAGAGGGCCUUAGGGUUGUAAAGUACUUUCAGCGGGGAGGCGUUACCCGCAGAAGAAGCACCGGCUAACGCCGUGCCAGCAGCCGCGGUAAUUC
rnacentral:rRNA from 1 species